UCGAGUGGCGAACGGGUGAGUAACACGUGGGUGAUCUGCCCUGCACUUCGGGAUAAGCCUGGGAAACUGGGUCUAAUACCGGAUAGGAGCCAUUUUUAGUGUGAUGGUUGGAAAGUUUUUUCGGUGUAGGAUGAGCUCGCGGCCUAUCAGCUUGUUGGUGGGGUAAUGGCCUACCAAGGCGGCGACGGGUAGCCGGCCUGAGAGGGUGGACGGCCACAUUGGGACUGAGAUACGGCCCAGACUCC
rnacentral:rRNA from 1 species